GAUGAACGCUGGCGGCGUGCUUAACACAUGCAAGUCGAACGGGAAUUAUUUUAUUGAAACUUCGGUCGAUUUAAUUUAAUUCUAGUGGCGGACGGGUGAGUAACGCGUGGGUAACCUGCCUUAUACAGGGGGAUAACAGUCAGAAAUGGCUGCUAAUACCGCAUAAGCGCACAGAGCUGCAUGGCUCAGUGUGAAAAACUCCGGUGGUAUAAGAUGGACCCGCGUUGGAUUAGCUUGUUGGCAGGGUAACGGCCUACCAAGGCGACGAUCCAUAGCCGGCCUGAGAGGGUGAACGGCCACAUUGGGACUGAGACACGGCCCAGACUCCUACGGGAGGCAGCAGUGGGGAAUAUUGCACAAUGGGGGAUACCCUGAUGCAGCGACGCCGCGUGAAGGAAGAAGUAUCUCGGUAUGUAAACUUCUAUCAGCAGGGAAGAUAGUGACGGUACCUGACUAAGAAGCCCCGGCUAACUACGUG
rnacentral:rRNA from 1 species